AUUGAACGCUGGCGGCAUGCCUAACACAUGCAAGUCGAACGGCAGCGCGGGGGCAACCCUGGCGGCGAGUGGCGGACGGGUGAGGAAUGCAUAGGAAUCUGCCCGGUUGUGGGGGAUAACGUAGGGAAACUUACGCUAAUACCGCAUACGACCUUCGGGUGAAAGUGGGGGACCUUCGGGCCUCACGCGAUCGGAUGAGCCUAUGCCCGAUUAGCUAGUUGGCGGGGUAAGAGCCCACCAAGGCGACGAUCGGUAGCUGGUCUGAGAGGAUGAUCAGCCACACUGGGACUGAGACACGGCCCAGACUCCUACGGGAGGCUGCAGUGGGGAAUAUUGGACAAUGGGCGCAAGCCUGAUCCAGCAAUGCCGCGUGUGUGAAGAAGGCCUUCGGGUUGUAAAGCACUUUUGUUCGGGAAGAAAUCCGUGUGGUUAAUACCCGUACGGGAUGACGGUACCGAAAGAAUAAGCACCGGCUAACUUCGUG
rnacentral:rRNA from 1 species